rnacentral:rRNA from 1 species
UACGUAGGGUGCGAGCGUUGUCCGGAAUUAUUGGGCGUAAAGAGCUCGUAGGCGGCCUGUCGCGUCGGAUGUGAAAGCCCGGGGCUCAACCCCGGGUCGGCAUUCGAUACGGGCAGGCUGGAGUGUGGGAGGGGAGAUCGGAAUUCCUGGUGUAGCGGUGAAAUGCGCAGAUAUCAGGAGGAACACCGGUGGCGAAGGCGGAUCUCUGGGCCAUUACUGACGCUGAGGAGCGAAAGCGUGGGGAGCGAACAGG